AAGGCAAAGCCCGCCACCCUGAACCUCAGGCUCCCAAGUGCAGGUUAUGCCACCACUGCUAAGAGCUUGAGAGAAGAAAGAAACAUCAAAUGGCCCGAAUCAAACGCAGCCGGAGCCGGAGCCUGACCCGCUUCCGUCAAAUGAGGCAAAAGGCCAGCCAUGCGGGUGGCUCUGGAAAGAGACGAAAAAGACGCCAGGGCAAAAGGAAAGGUAAGAUGCUUAAAUUUAAGACUUCUAUGCCAUAUGGCUUCUAUGUAUACUCACAUAAGAUUGCGCUCUUGAGUUGUGACCCUUCAAACACAUUUGGUAGGAAGUAAAUGUAUUUUAUCCCUAUUUACUACAGCUCAACUUGGUUACAUUUAAUAACUGGUGGUGGUGUUUGUUCUUUUCUGGUAAAGGUCGUGGUCGCAAGAAGGGGCGAAGAAGAAGACACUAAACUCUUUUCAUCUUCAUGGUGUUCUGUGCCCUUGAUUUCAACCAUCUGACUCACCAAAACCUUUGUCUAACAAAAUGAACACAACAAUCUUUCAUGAGAAUACCCAGGAUACCUUCCUGAGAUUCAAGGAGCCUGCAACAAAUUGAACAAUGCCACCUGUCAAUAAAAUGCUAAAAUUUCAUUCCUGUGGUUUCUCAUGUGAUUUCUUAACCGGGGAUAGGUGGCAACUCCUCAAUGAUGUUGGUGGGUGAAUUGCUAGGUUGCCAUAAGUGGAUAUCGUGAGUGGGAGAAGCUCGGAAAAAGGAACUUAAUAAAAAGUUUAGGAACUCUUAGUUUGAGAGUUGUGGAUUGUGUCAAAGCCUGUUGUUUUGUCUAGUUAUUAUAUGUGUGAUGGGGUGGUUGGUGGUGCAAUGUCUGGGCACAUGACUGCCCCACAAACCAAUCAGAAUUUUGUUUCAAAGACUUG